UAGAGUUGUUGGGACAUAGUAAGUACUCCAAUAUAUAUUACCCUUGUCGCUAAACAUCAAAUAGAUUGCCAUAAAAGUCCAAGUCUGUCCUUGAUAUACAAAUUCUUUUCUUUUGCAGUGGCUAUAUGUCGCCAGAAUAUGCUGUGUUUGGAAAAUUUUCAAUAAAGUCUGAUGUAUUUAGUUUUGGAGUAAUAUUGUUGGAGAUUAUAAGUGGC
rnacentral:misc_RNA from 1 species